AGCCGUAACCAGCAAGGCUCCCUGAAGCGCAACACAAGCAAGGGGAGGAGGGAGAACGCAAGGCUCUUCGAGUGCUGGGCUACGAGUCUACUGCAAAUCCAUGAGUGGAUCCCCCUGUCUCUUGAUGCAUAAAUGUGUUUGCGUGGGCUGCAGGUUGAACGGACAGAGCAAGAAAAAUGUGUCAAGAAAGGAAAUGGACCUCUAUUCUGAAAGAUUUAAUGCUUGAAACACUGAGCAAUUUUGAAUGUGGUUGACUGGUGCUGACUUUUAAGAUACGAUAGAAAUGUUUUGGAGGCAUUUGGACAUACACGUGAACAAGCAUUGAUUAGAGGGAUUCUGACCGUGCAGGCAAAUGGGAUGAGGUUUAUGGGCAAAGUACGACCAAGUUACAGUUUCAGAUUCAGAUGUAUUUAUCACAUGUGCUUGAAAUACACAGCAAAAUGUGUGUUUGCAUGAACAACUAACAUACCCAAGGAUGUCCUGGGGCAGCUGCAGAAGAUGCAAAAGCCCGAGAGCAUAUACCACCAGGCUCAAGGACAGCGUCUUUCCCACUGUUGAGAGACAGUAUGAUAAGAUGGACUCGACCUCACAGUCAACUUUGUUAUGAUCUUGCACUUUAUCAUUUACCUGCACUGUACUUUUCAGUAGCUUUUAAACUUUAUUCUGCAUUGUUAUUGUUUUAACUGAUUCAUUUAAAAAUUGAAAUCAUUUUAAUGCAGCUGUUACAGUCUUGAUGAUUUCUUAUUAUUUGUUGCUUUCUAUUGUGCUAAAGAUGUCAACAUUGGUGGGUGUGGGUAUUAAUUUCCUGUACCAUGCACUAAUUUGCACAUCAAUUUGAUUCUUAAAACUGCUUGCUGUUUCUAUGAGAAUAACCACGCCAGCAUGAAUGGCUUUUACUGCAAAGGAUGCUGGGAAGGGUGCACAGCAAUACUUACAAUUGAGGAAGUGCCCCAUCAUAGGAUGCUGCUUUACUUUCACUGGACUUCACACUGACUAGACUUGGCUUGUGUCACUAAAAAUUGGACAACUUACUGUCUGUCUCCAAGUUACCAGUCCAUUAUCAACCAAAUCAUUCUUGAAUGCUGACUACAUCUUAGUUUGAGGGGAUAUUUUUACAAAGAUGUUUCACAGCUCAAUUUGCAGGUACACUGGAUUUUUAGUUGAAAGUUAGUGAAAAUGAAAAGCUUACAAAGUAUAGCUUAGUUUUUGCAUUGUGACAUAUUUGUUUGCAAUUUAUGUCAUUGUACAUGGGAUAUAAAUGCAUGAUUUACGGAACAUGAGAGAUUCUGCAGAUCCUGGAAAUCAAGAGCAACAAACACAAAAUGCUGGACAAACUUA